UACAGAGGUCCCAAGCGUUGUUCGGAUUCACUGGGCGUAAAGAGCUCGUAGGCGGUUUGUCGCGUCUGCUGUGAAAAUCCGGGGCUCAACCCCGGACUUGCAGUGGGUACGGGCAGACUAGAGUGUGGUAGGGGAGACUGGAAUUCCUGGUGUAGCGGUGAAAUGCGCAGAUAUCAGGAGGAACACCGAUGGCGAAGGCAGGUCUCUGGGCCACUACUGACGCUGAGAAGCGAAAGCAUGGGGAGCGAACAGG
rnacentral:rRNA from 1 species